rnacentral:rRNA from 1 species
UGCAUGGCUGUCGUCAGCUCGUGUUGUGAAAUGUUGGGUUAAGUCCCGCAACGAGCGCAACCCUUAUCCUUUGUUGCCAGCGGUCCGGCCGGGAACUCAAAGGAGACUGCCAGUGAUAAACUGGAGGAAGGUGGGGAUGACGUCAAGUCAUCAUGGCCCUUACGACCAGGGCUACACACGUGCUACAAUGGCGCAUACAAAGAGAAGCGACCUCGCGAGAGCAAGCGGACCUCAUAAAGUGCGUCGUAGUCCGGAUUGGAGUCUGCAACUCGACUCCAUGAAGUCGGAAUCGCUAGUAAUCGUGGAUCAGAAUGCCACGGUGAAUACGUUCCCGGGCCUUGUACACACCGCCCGUCACACCAUGGGAGUGGGUUGCAAAAGAAGUAGGUAGCUUAACCUUCGGGAGGGCGCUUACCACUUUGUGAUUCAUGACUGGGGUGAAGUCGUAACAAGGUAACCGUAGGGGAACCUGCGGUUGGAUCACCUCCUU